AAUAUUGGGACAUAGAAAGAAAAAAAAGACAACUCUGUUCCGCAGAGUAGCUGUUGACAUUAUAGUUACGCGGGCACUUUGUUGACUCUAGAGAACCUCGGGCCAAUCGCACAUCCCCGUGACGGCGACUUUGCAUUCGGAUGUCAUCCAUAUCAACUUUCGAUGCCAGUUUCUGCGCCUACCAUGGUGACCACGGUUAACGGGGAAUCAGGGUUCCAUUCAGUACAAGGACCCUGAGAAACGGCAACCACAUGCAAGGAAGGCAGCAGGCGCGCAAAUUACCCACUCGUGACGCGGGAAGGUAGUGA